rnacentral:misc_RNA from 1 species
GAGAGGAGCAAAGGUAUAAAUCAACCCUUUCUCACACACAAAAGAAGGGGAGAGAAUAAAAAAUUAGUGGAAUAAAUACAUAUUGUCAAAUGGCUAUCUAGUCCAUUAUUUUUCUCAGAGGUGCCACUGAUUGUUUCUCUUACCCAUGCAGAUCCAAGAAAGCAGAGUACUAAUCUUGAGAGAUCAAGGAAAACAACAAGUAGGGUUCCACAAGUUUUAUAAUUUGAAAUGUCUCAAUUUUGCCUUCACAGAACUUGUUCAUCACAUGCUAAGUGAAGUGACAACCAAGCUGAUGAAACAAUCAGUUGUAAGUUGUAACAUGCUCUUCAAUAAACGUUU